CAGCAGCCGCGGUAAUACAGAGGGUGCGAGCGUUAAUCGGAUUUACUGGGCGUAAAGCGUGCGUAGGCGGCUUUUUAAGUCGGAUGUGAAAUCCCUGAGCUUAACUUAGGAAUUGCAUUCGAUACUGGGAAGCUAGAGUAUGGGAGAGGAUGGUAGAAUUCCAGGUGUAGCGGUGAAAUGCGUAGAGAUCUGGAGGAAUACCGAUGGCGAAGGCAGCCAUCUGGCCUAAUACUGACGCUGAGGUACGAAAGCAUGGGGAGCAAACAGGAUUAGAUACCCGGGUAGUCCCUGUCUCUUAUAA
rnacentral:rRNA from 1 species